rnacentral:lncRNA from 1 species
GCACUAUAGUUUGUGGCCGUAUCUUGAGAAAAAUCCCGAGUACGCAUGAAACAAAAAAUCAAGGGAAACAUGCAUUUUUAGUAAACUUGAACGGAAUAAAAUCCAGUAUUUCUUCUUGGGAGCAGCAUCAUCAGUUCACCAUUCCACCAUCUUUGCAUUAGUAUCAUCAAUUCAUUAUCCUACCAUCUUUCCAUCAACAUCAGUGCAUCACCACUUCACCAUUCCACCAUCGAUCUAGCUAACAAGUAUAGAAAAAAAUGAAAAGGCUUUUAGUUAAAAAUCAGAAAGACAAAUUCAGGAGAAAACUUUGCUUUCUGCAACACUAUCUAAUUCAAAUUAUACUGAAACAUGACACAAUAGAAAUGAGCAUGCAUUCGCCCAACAAUACAAGAUAAACAAAAGCAUCAGAGACAAACAGAUGAAUUUAAAUAAGAAAAAGCCCAUAAAAACAUCAACUUUACGAGUCAUAAUAGGCAUGAAGAAAAUAGAGGACUGUUGGAAAGAAUAUCAGGAGAUCAGAAGAUAGAACUAUCCAUCAGUACCUAUGGUUCAUUUAAUCUGGAGAACAUAAAAUUCAAACAAAUAAAUUCAAACGACAUCAGUACCUAUGAUUCAUUCAAUCACGUCCAUGGCGUCCAAAAUAUCACUCUCGUAGAUGCUUCGAGUCAAACAAGACUCUUGUGGAGAGUCUCCAUUUUUACCUGUAAAAUAUCCAGUGUAAAUAAAAGAGACAAUACAAAAAAUAACUCUAGUUAUCACAAAUCACAAGAGGUUCAUUACCGUGAAUUUCAUUUCUCAACCAAUUUUGGGUACACAUGAGUGCUUCUACUAUUUUCGGGUCAAGUUUGCUACGAUUUGCUCUUAACAACCGGCCACUUGUACUAAAAGCUGACUCAGAGACAACUGUUGAAACAGGAAUAGCCAAAAUGUCCUUUGCAAUCAGCCUUAACGUUGGAUAGUGAGCUUCUUGAUUUUUCCACCAACCCAAGAUAUCAAACUUUUGAAUUCUAGGCAAAAGAGGCUCUUUCAAGUAUGCCUCCAACUCUUCUCUGCCACCUUGAUUUGACAUAGUAUUAUCAACAACAAAUGAGUCGAAUCCAUUAAGAAAACUUGAACCCCCUUGUUCAAGAGAAUUAACAGAAGAAGACGAGAUACCCGUACUUGUUUCAAUCUUCUUAUACUCAUCAAGUAGAUCAUGAAUCAAGUAUUUAAUCCUAUCCAUCUCACUUCUUGCCCUAUCACUGUAAAUGAUUGUAAAGGCCCACUCCACCAUUUUCAGCUUAUACCUAGGAUCUAAAACAACUGCAAUUGCCAUGGGUCCUUCAAUAACCUCCCAAUAACGAUCAAACUUUAUCAACAUCUGUUCUGCCAUCAUCUUAAUCGUUCCAUGUGAGGUAAAAAACCAUUGACGGAGAUCUAUCUUAACCUCACAAAUAAGGGGAAAUAGUGCAUUAGAAGUAGGAUAAGUUGUUCCUGAAAAUACCUUGGUCGCCUCAUGGAAAUUCUUCAACUUCGGGCAUAUCUCACUUGCCAAAUUCCAUUCUUCUUCACUUGGAAAACACGUGUAUGAUGGAUCUCCUUGUUUAAGUCUAAAAAAUACAUCCUUGUAUAUCAAAGCAGUAGAUAGCAUGAAAUAUGUAGAAUUCCAACGAGUUCUACAAUCAAUCACUAAUUCAAGCGAAGAAUUAAUGUGUAGCUGCCUCACCAUAUCAUUAAACUUCUGUCUUCUCUUUGGGGAACUAGUCCAAUGUAGAACGGUGUCUCGAAUCAUCUCAAUACAACCCUCAAUAACAGAUAGUCCAUCUUGCAGGAUUAGAUUCAAAAUGUGCGCAGCACAUCGCAUGUGUAGUAUGGUACCAUGCAAUAUGAGAUUCUCUGCUUCCAACUUCCCUAGCAAAGCUCGAACCAUAGCGUCAUUUGUGCUACAAUUGUCCACAGUCACCGUAGACAACUUUCUAUCAAUAUCCCACUCAACUAAGCACUCGAGUAAAACUUCACAAAUGACAUCCUUUGUAUGCGGAGAAGGCACAUAGAGAAAUCUUAUAAUUCGACUCUGAAGAGCCCAAUUAUCAUCAAUGAAAUGGGCGGUCAUCACCAUAAACCCUUUCUUCUUAUUUUUUGAUGUCCACAUAUCAGUAGUUACUGCAACUCUACUGCUGGUCCUUUCCAAUUCAUUCAUCACUUUUGCUUUUCCAUCUUCAUGAAUGCUAAGAAUAUCAUCUUUGAUGGUAUUUCUGGAAACCAUAGUAAAUGUUGAUCGAAGAGAACUCACAAACCUACGAACACCAACAUAAUCAACUAUAGAAAGAGGGAACUCAUGAAGGGCAAUCAUAUAACCAAGUUCUCUUCUGCUAUUCUCUGGAUCAUAGCUUGAACUUCCAACAUCCAAUCUUCUUUUUUUAGUUUCUAGCAGCCCAGGAAGAACUUCUCCAUCUUCAUUUUUUGCUGGACAUCUAAGCAAAUGACUAUUCAAAUGAGAAGUUCCAUUACCCUCCACGGCAGAGAGUCUUUUAUGAAAAUAUUUGGAACUGUUGCUUUUUUCACACCAUUAACAAGUACUAAGUCAAAAUCAUUCCAUGCUUUAGACCACCUCCUCCUACUAGAACUAAUUCCUCCACCAGAAGAUGCACUAGUUCCAUUCUCUUGAUCGAAUGAGUUGCUAAUAUCAUUAGUUUCUCGUGACAUUUCUCUAUAUACCUAAAUGAACAGGGACAUUUAAGAACACAAAACACUACACUUAGAAAACUAGUCAUUUGGGUAUCAACAAACAAUCAACAGCUAGCUAGUUGACAACAAAAUUAAACUCUAAAUUAAAACAAAAUUAAACUCCACAAUUAUCCCAUCAGAGUUAAAGAAGGAGAGAAGAAAUGACAGAUGUAUAUGAGCACAAGCGCAAAAACAAAUCCCUAGUCUCACAAAUAAGAACGACAGAGAGUUAUGUACAGGACAAAACAGUCAGAUAUGAUAAUAAACUUCAAAUAAAAUCUAUGUAAUCAAAGAAAGAAUCUGGAUAGCGGUUAGAUACCUCUAGGUUAGGCGCGUCUCCUCUAAGGUACUUCGGCAGAUUCAAAUUGAACUCUGCAGAUAAUUCCUGCAGUUAAUAACAAUCAAUCAGACGUGCACAGAAGACCAUUAAACUUCAGGACGGCAAAGUAAGGUCAUGUUUGAUGCAUACCAGUUCGGAUUUACCAAAGCGGCAGCAGCGCAGAUCAUCCCCCCAUUCCUCCUCGUGUUCUGGAAGAAUAGAUUGAGUUAGCAGUAGCCCUAAAGGAAGAAGUAGAAGAAAGGACAGUGAAUCAGUCCUUGCGGCUCUUGAGGCAUGGGUGGGUUAAAGCCCAAAUGG